rnacentral:rRNA from 1 species
CCUACGGGUGGCAGCAGUGAGGAAUAUUGGUCAAUGGACGAGAGUCUGAACCAGCCAAGUAGCGUGAAGGAUGACUGCCCUAUGGGUUGUAAACUUCUUUUAUAAAGGAAUAAAACGAGGCACGUGUGCCUUUUUGCAUGUACUUUAUGAAUAAGGAUCGGCUAACUCCGUGCCAGCAGCCGCGGUAAUACGGAGGAUCCGAGCGUUAUCCGGAUUUAUUGGGUUUAAAGGGUGCGUAGGCGGACUGUUAAGUCAGCGGUAAAAGCCCGGGGCUCAACCCCGGCGAGCCGUUGAAACUGAUGUUCUUGAGUGGGCGAGAGGUAUGCGGAAUGCGAGGUGUAGCGGUGAAAUGCAUAGAUAUCACGCAGAACUCCGAUUGCGAAGGCAGCAUACCGGCGCCCAACUGACGCUGAUGCGCGAAAGCGUGGGUAUCGAACAGGAUUAGAUACCCUUGUAGUC